rnacentral:rRNA from 1 species
CCCUUAGAUGUUCUGGGCUGCACACGUGCUACACUGGCAGGUUCAGCGAGCUUCAUGCCCUGAUCUGAAAGGAAUGGGAAAUCUUUUCAAAACCUGCCGUGCUUGGGAUAGAUGUUUGCAAUUAUUCAUCUUCAACGAGGAUUGCCUUGUAAGCGCAUGUCAUCAGCAUGCAUUGAAUACGACCCUGUAUUCUGUACACACCGCCCGUCGCUCCUACCGAUUGAAUGGUUUAGUGAGGCCUUCGGAUCCGCGACUCGUUUGUGGAGAAGUUGGACAAACUCAGUCAUUUAGAGGAAGUAAAAGUCGUAACA